GAUGAACGCUAGCUACAGGCUUAACACAUGCAAGUCGAGGGGAAACGACAUCGAAAGCUUGCUUUUGAUGGGCGUCGACCGGCGCACGGGUGAGUAACGCGUAUCCAACCUGCCCACCACUUGGGGAUAACCUUGCGAAAGUAAGACUAAUACCCAAUGAUAUCCCACGAAGACAUCUGAAUGGGAUUAAAGAUUUAUCGGUGAUGGAUGGGGAUGCGUCUGAUUAGCUUGUUGGCGGGGUAACGGCCCACCAAGGCAACGAUCAGUAGGGGUUCUGAGAGGAAGGUCCCCCACAUUGGAACUGAGACACGGUCCAAACUCCUACGGGAGGCAGCAGUGAGGAAUAUUGGUCAAUGGGCGAGAGCCUGAACCAGCCAAGUAGCGUGCAGGAAGACGGCCCUAUGGGUUGUAAUCUGCUUUUAUAAGGGAAUAAAGUGGGUCACGUGUGACUUUUUGCAUGUACCUUAUGAAUAAGGACCGGCUAAUUCCGUG
rnacentral:rRNA from 1 species